ACGGGUGAGUAAUGUAUGGGGAUCUGCCCGAUAGAGGGGGAUAACCACUGGAAACGGUGGCUAAUACCGCAUAAUCUCUUAGGAGCAAAGCAGGGGAACUUCGGUCCUUGCGCUAUCGGAUGAACCCAUAUGGGAUUAGCUAGUAGGUGGGGUAAUGGCUCACCUAGGCGACGAUCCCUAGCUGGUCUGAGAGGAUGAUCAGCCACACUG
rnacentral:rRNA from 1 species